rnacentral:rRNA from 1 species
AAAUUGAAGAGUUUGAUCAUGGCUCAGAUUGAACGCUGGCGGCAGGCCUAACACAUGCAAGUCGAACGGUAACAGGAAACAGCUUGCUGUUUCGCUGACGAGUGGCGGACGGGUGAGUAAUGUCUGGGAAACUGCCUGAUGGAGGGGGAUAACUACUGGAAACGGUAGCUAAUACCGCAUAAUGUCGCAAGACUAAAGAGGGGGACCUUCGGGCCUCUUGCCAUCGGAUGUGCCCAGAUGGGAUUAGCUAGUAGGUGGGGUAACGGCUCACCUAGGCGACGA